UCGAGUGAGUGCCACGUCCUUCGUCAUCUUCAUUGUCUCGCCAUGCUCUACCUCUGCCAUAUUCCCCUGCUCUGGAUUCUUCCCCUACAUGAGUUCUUCCGUGGCCGGGUACUCCGUCGCCUGGUCAGCGGACUUGCUUUUAGGUUUUCCGACGCCGUGUUCAUCGCCGAGGCCGCUCCGUCCGUCCGUGAUUCAGCAGACCAGUUCGGUUGGCGCUCUAGCCUCUCCCUCUUCCGCUCCAUCAGGUGGGCACAAGGUGCUGCUCUAGAUCUCCUCCCGAUGGGCCGUGGCAUGGAUUGGGUCCUCUAACGUCCCAGCCGUGCUGAUUCGUCCGCCGUCUUAUCUCGAGGGGGGCUUGGGGUGGAGGCGACGCUGUGGCAUGGAGGCGGGGCGGCGAGCAGGGAGAGGCAAGGAUGGUGAUGCUCUCGCCCACCACGGUCCGGCGGCCACCGGUGGUUACGCCCGCCGGGCGUCCAUACGUCGGCUCCAUGGCUACUUCUGUCCGCCGGCGUGCGUCGGGGUUUGCUAGCAGUUUCGGGCGGUACCAGCAGCGGCGGGGUUCCGGUGAGCACCACAGAAGGACGGGAGAGCUCCUUCCCCUGCUAGCACGUUGAGCAAUUGCAUGUCCUGGUGAGGAUGAAGACUAGCUGGAGGACUUGGUUUUGGUCUAAGAGGUAGAGCAUGAAGGCCACUGCGCAGAAGUUGCGCAACCAAAGUAAGGUGGUUUACCAAAUAAUUGACCUUGCUGAUGAUUAUUUUCUUGAAAGGUGAGCUAUGAUUGAAUCACAUGGUGCUCUAUCAGAUUAUAAGGUAUAAUUAGUUGUCUUUGUUUCCUUCAUGUUCAUUCAAUUGGUUUACUUACAAGCUGCCAUUAUUUUUUCAUCGCAUUAUAAUAUAUAUUAUUAGCUAUUCUGACUUGUGAGUUCAUGUUUGUCGAAGGAAGUUGGAUGCAGUGGACUCUAACUUGGCUCAUGAGAAUCUUACUGAUAUGCAAAUAAACGAGUUAUUUUGAAUUGAGUGAUUGCACAAACUAUGUAGGAUGUUACAACCAGAAGUAAAUAAAUUAUUUUGAAAAACAUGUACUAUGUAUGAUCACAACUCGCCAUACAAUCAUUUCAUUGUAAAUUAUAAUGCAUGAUACAAAUGCUACAAAAUGACAUGUACAGUAUUUUUCAGCUGACACUAAAUGUUGCAGCCUACGUUGUCUCCAAACUUCCAUUUUAUCACUCUGACUACAUCGAUAUCUUUGAGUUAGCUUCUCCAAUUCAGUUGUUGUGGCUUUCUUUGUCAAUAAAAAAUGCCUUAAUUCUGCGAUUAGAUGUUUUUGAUACAUAGGAUUGUGAAGUUUUUGUUGGACAUUAUCUUCUUGUGGUCCAUACUGGAAACGAUGACGACCGUCUCUGGCUCUUCUGCUUAUUUUUUAUUGAUAAUGAUCUGAUGUUACUUGAGCGCAGUGUCGCGGAUUUGGGCGAUCGGGAUUUUCUUUGUGUGGUGCUGCACUGCGUUGUGACCUGCGUUUUCUUUGGUCGGGGUUUGAUUUGGGUCAUCAUCUUGCCGAUUAAUUUUCCUCGAUCUUUUGCUUUUUUUGCUUCUUUGCUCGGAUUAUUUGAGUGUUGCUUUUUGAUUCUGUAAAAAGAUUUUUCCCUUGUGCACGUUGUUGGACUAGGCUGCUACUUUUAUGAGUGAUCCACAUUUUGCUGGCUAUCGUCGAGGUGUCUCUCCUUCUGCCUCAAGAUGGUCAAUUUGCCUUACUGAUUCUGAGUUCAGACAGUUAUUGUAGAAGAUACAUGUUUCAGACAUAAUGUCUAAGAUUGCAGAUUUGCUUCUCCCCUUGCUGUCAGUUCAUCUACCGCAACAUCACAUUCUGAUUCCAUGUGGACUUGUUUAAACAAGAAUAGCAAUGAUAGAUUUAAUUCGCUCCCGACGACGAUCAAGAACUCACAAUGCUGACAAGAUUGUUCUACCAUUGUCAUAUCUAAAGACAGGUACCUAGGCUUCACAUUAUUCUUCAAUAGAAUAGCUGGCAGCUUAUUCAAUCCUGCAUCAGCUUUCCUCCCAAGAUUCCUUACUUCUUCUUACUGUUGGCAAAUUAAUUUCCGAGGAAAACAGUGGCCUUCUUUUCCUUAUUAUGUGAGUCAUUGUUCAACGAUUUACUCUCCUAAAACAAAGCUAAGUAUCAUUCCCGAAACAGGGCCAAUUGUUCAAUUCUGCAUUUCCUGUCACCGAAGAUAAAGAGUUAUUUUGUAAGUGCCAACAUCUCCACCAAAGAGAAGCUUUGAAAUCAUAUCAUUGUUGUACUGACUUGAAGGACUAGAACCCAGUCAGUAAGUAAGCUACUGAAUUUGCUAUCCAUAGGCAAGGUCCAAUGUUAUUUUAAGCGGUGUCAAAGACCUCUACCUUUUGAACAAACCGCCAUCCCACAAGUGAUAAGUGGGAAUCAGAUCCAAGCUUACACGUCGGUCGGUGAGUAAUGAGAGCAUACUAUAUAUUGUCUUGCAAAGUGCUUGCAACAGAAUUAUGCAUUUAGAGUUCUUCAGUUGCAGGCUCGAGGUGAUGAUACCAUACAUUGUUUUGCAUGCCGCAGCAUAUGUUAUUUGUCAAAACGUACUAGAGAAAAACAAGAUUGAAUUAAUAGCUCAAUCAGUUUUUAGUUUGCAAGGCUAAACGUAGUGCUCUAAAGUAUUCAUGAAUUUCUGCUAAAAGUCCGUCUCUCUCCAUUCUUUUCUGUUUCCAUAUGUGUGUAUGUAUCUCUAUGCUUGAUGGAUUCACUUGCACGCAGGUUACAGGGACAAUUUACACUAAUUAAGUUAAGGAUGUCUUGCUUCGAGCCCAUCAAUGGAAAUAUUCUAUGUGCAUCAGCAGUGACGGCUCUGCCUGCUCUGCCCAUCAACAGCCAUUCAGAUUAGAGUCGCAGAUGAUCUGUCCCCUCUAUAUGUCCCCUCUAUAGUUUAGCUCAAGCCAAUGUACAAACCUGCAGAACAGCCCCAUCUGUUUCAGGCCAGUGGGAAGAUGUAUCGGCGCCCUCUAAACCAUGUAAUAUUGUCGUCUGGCCCAGUCCGGUGAACUGGCAUAUUCUCCGUAUAAUCCAGUGUGAAUGUUGUUAUUCACCUAAG